AUGAAGCCUUUGCCCCUUCUGGUGCUCCUUGUGCUGGUGCCCUUGGCAUGGGGACCAGCACCCAGGGGGCUGCUGAGCCCCCCCUGUGGGGCUGCUGGUGCUGCCCCGGGGGGUUGUGGAUCCUGCCCAGAGCAUCGGGAUGUGAAACCAGGGGCAGAGUUUCCAUGGGUAAUGGCAUACGCAUCUAUGAGAAGCUGCCACAGAGUCCUGAGGGAUGCCUAUGGGGAGUUUUCUCCUCCUGCAUAUUGUAGUGAUUCUCCAAUGAACUUCUGGUGCAACUGGACAAUCUGGGCAGGCCCUAGAAAGCAUAUAAUAAUUUACAUCCAGGGCUUUACCACUAAGGAAGGUUGUAACAAAAAUGAGGACAAAAUCCUCUUCGAAGGAGUUUCUUCACUGGUGGAAAACAGCGUGGUUUAUGCUUGCUGGAAGAAGGAGACGCAUGUUUUUGCCACCUUUGCUCGGGCUGUCCAUGUCGUGCUGCUGAAGAGGUAUGUGCCGAACUGCAGAGACUCACAGUUUAAAGGGAAGUAUUUCACCUUCCAAGAUGGGAAAGGCAAAUCUUCCUCUAGCAGCGCUUCAAUUCCCAAAACUGUGUCUCCAGAGCUACCCAAGCCAGGUGGUAUUUUUGAGCCUGGUUGGUCUGAAGACCCCAGGGACGUGCUGGGCUUUGGGACCACAGAUAGCACCGAGAGCUUUGGUGUGACUGCGGUGCUGCACAAUGUGUCCCCCCAGGGAAGAGGCACUGCAGAAAGCCCCGAUAGGCUUGUCCCAUACCGAGGUGCAGAGAUCCCACUCCUGGAAACAAAAGCUGCUCGUGUGCCAGGGCCUGAGCCACCAGCAGGCCCGAGGCUCUGCCAGGAGGAUCGGUGUGGGGGCAUGGCCCAGGGUGGGAGCCCCACUGCAGGGCCGGGCUCCUGGCAGCAGGGUCCUGCCACGAGUGGAGACGUCGGUGGGUUUUCAAGUGUGCCUUCGGAAACUCCUUUGCUUGGAGCCUUGCAGGGAGCAGAGCCUUCUCUGCAGCCCACAGGCACAGGUCAGGAGGGCGGUCUGUCUGUCCUGCACCCUACCCGGAGGCUGGGAGAUGUGGGCAGCCCACAGCCCACCAUUAAACCAACACACACCACUCACCUGGACGUGGCUGCUCGCUCACAGGCUCUGUCCCCUGGCAGAAGGGCAAGCCAAGACAGUGUUGAUACCACCACAUACCAGGGGCUUGGAACAGCUGGUUUGGAGGAGAACAAGAGCCAGGAGGAGGACAAAAGCCAUGGAGCAGCAAGAGGUGAUGCUGAUGGCCUUGCGAAGGGCCUGACGCCUAGCCUGAGUACCCCGUACCAAGUGGUGAGAAAGGACAGCUCGCAGAUGCCACCUGAGAGAAGCCAAAGCAGUUUUGAGGGUUUGUCCACAACUCAACCCGACCUGGGAACGACCAGCCUCCAGCAUACGAAGCUGAUGGGUAUUUCCCCCCCUGAAAUAAAAAAAAUCCCCACACCAGCCCUCUCUCACCCUGACCACGUCCCUGCAGGCUUUGGAUCUGGCAAUUUCGCCCCCAAGGAUCCUCUUUCUUCACAAGUGGAGGCUGUCUCCAGGGCAGUCUCACCUCCAGCAGUAGCUCUGGGUUCGGAUCCUGUCAGGAGAAGGGCAGGCACCCCACCACCUGUCCAUGGAGGACAGGAGGUGUUCUCCCCAUCACCACCUCGCCAUCUGUCAGCAGCCCCUGCGCUGGGUGCAGAUGUGUCCCCUGGCCCCCUUGGCCUUGAGAUGAGCAAACGGGUGCUGGAGGAGGGUGGCCAGCGAGAAGAAACCCCAGCUCCUGCAGGCUUGCCAGCCAGGGGUCCCUCUGUGGCCUCCAUCCCCAGCCCGAGGCCCGUCACAGGCCUUCCUUGUCCCCAGCACCAGAAAAACACAGAAGGCCUCCGAGCAGGUGCAGGUGAGCAGAGAAAUGCCUCGAGCCAUCGUCACUCCAGUCCUCCUGUGACCCCGCAGGGACAAACAGUGCUGCAAGGCCAGGAGCUGCAGCAGCCCUCCAGCGACCCCUUGUCCAGAAAGACAUGGAUGCUAGGAGGACAGCAACAACAACACGCUGAGCUGGGACUGCCCUGGGCAACAGAGUACUUCCCCGCCAGGAGAUGCCACGUCGUCUUUCAGGGUGGGUUUGGGAUGUUCUACCUCCCCCCACAUGGCGACAUUAAAGCCAACAUCUGGUGCAACUGGACCAUCUGGGCAGGCCCCCAGAAGCACGUUGUCAUCUAUGUCCAGGGGUUUCAGGGGAGCGAAGGCUGCGGUAAGAAUCAGGACAAGAUGAUUUUCCAGGGUGUCCUCUCAAGUGUGGAAACCAAAGUCGUGUACGCCUGUCACAACCGAGGUACUCUGAUCUUUGCUACGCGAGCCACUGUGGUCCAUGUGUUAUUUCUGUCCGGGGGUGGCUCCCUAAGCAGUGAAUACAAACAUUUUAAGGGACAGUAUUAUGUAUUUGGAGACUAUGAAGCUGCGGGUUCUUCAAAUGAAACUAUAGUUCCUGGAGAGCCUGUUCAGGAGAGCUGGAGGACAGCAGUAACAAAAGGCUUCCUGCCCACGCUGAGAGCUUCUCUGAGCCCAUCAGCUCUGCCUCCUGCAGACAGGUUCAAGCCUGAGUUCAUAAGCUCAGAUGAAAAAGACCAACACCUUCCUGAUCUUGCAGAAGAUGCCCAGCCCGGCGCUAGCCUGGGCCUGCAUGGUGAGCUGCAGGAUGGAACCAAGAUGGAAAGGAGCCUUCAGGAUGGUGGCACCAAGGGGGAAGAAUCUGACAACAUGGUGGCUCCAGCCAGAGGCGAUGCUGGGCGUGAAGCUGAGCAACCCCCCUUGGAGGCUGCGAAGGGGGAUGUACGGCUGGUAUCUGCUCUGGUCACUGUAGCCCCACGUAGCUCACCUGGUGUCCCAUCUUCAGAGACGCCCAGCAGUACUGCAGGCCUCUCUGACUCCUCUAGCCUGGGACAGGCCAGUGGCACCCUGGCAGCAGAGGUGGUCACCACACAUCGCCUGCCAAUGCUGGAAAAGCCACCGCUAAACACAAGUACAGGACCUUCUCCUCUCUAUCCCUCUCCUGGUGUGACUGCUGGAGGCAUGGUGUCACCACAGGAAAGACACGAAGACCUCUUUGAUCUGGAUUCUGUUCUGGCAUCCCUGGGGAACGGUACAGCACUGCAAUCCCCGCACCACCCAGGCGAUGUGCUGUUUGAAGUAACUACUGAAAUCAAGCACAAGGAGUGGAUCUCUCUUCGUGGAAGUGAGCUCAGAAAAGAUCUUAUCGAAUCCCUUAAGAACCGCAUUCAGCAGAACCUGAAACUCUCUGCCAACAGAGUCAAUGAGAUAAAGUUAAAGCAAGUCAGAAGGACGACCAAUGCCAGCCUGCUGCUCACCUUCUGGCUGCACCUGAAGCCCCAGGAGAGAAAUGUGUCCUUGCUCCUGCACUCCCAGCUGGAAGAGCUGCUGGGCGCCUCAGUGGGAGUGGAGAAGCUGCAGCUGGUCUCGCUGCUAGUGGAAGAUGUGAAUGAGUGCAGCUUGGGAGUCACUCUGUGUGGGGAGGAGGCAGAGUGCUUCAACGGUGUGGGCACCUACUUGUGCCGCUGCAAGAAGGGCUAUGAGGACCGUUCUCCCAUGAAGUCUGGCACGCUGUGCGUUCGUGCUCCCACAUCAGGGAUGGGCUUCCUGCUCCGACACGGUGACAUCCUGGUGGGGGCGGCCAUCAUGGCCUGCCUGGCAAUGCUGGUGGCCGCUGCAGCCAUGUGUGGGGCAAAAUGCUGGGGACAGCGCCCCAGGAGGGACCUGGGGCCUGAGGAGCCACCGGAGAGGCCUGCGGAGGAGCCGGUGAUGGAGCUGCGGGACCUGGAGGACUGCCUGCGCCUCGACCCCUUCCAGCUGAAGCUGCGAGCCAGGCCCCCGGAGUGGCUGUGGGGGGCCCGGGCCCACCCUGGGCAAGCUUACCGUGUCUUCCUGGAGCAGUCCCCCCCACUCUAGGAGAGCCCCGAAAUGCUGCUAGCCACCAUCACCUCUGCUGUUGGUCCUGUCUUCCUCGGCUGCGUGGCCCCUCCUUGUGUCUCUUAUGGACAAACACCUCUCUCACAGUUGUCUUCGUCUUGUCGUUUAUGGCUUUUAAAUGCUUGCUCUGCUUUGGAAGUGAAGAGCUUGCUCACAGCACUCUGUCCUCUCCCACAUUCCCUCCUUGAGAUUUGUGCAGACGCGCCAGUACAUGAAAAAAUAAAUGCUUAUUUUUUUAAGAAAAAAAUAAGAAA
ensembl:lncRNA